GAUGAACGCUGGCUACAGGCUUAACACAUGCAAGUCGAGGGGAAACGACGGGGAAGCUUGCUUCCCCGGGCGUCGACCGGCGCACGGGUGAGUAACGCGUAUCCAACCUGCCUCUGACUGAGGGAUAACCCGUCGAAAGUCGGCCUAAUACCUCAUGGCAUCGUCUGCGGGCAUCCAACGACGAUUAAAGAUUUCAUCGGUCAGAGAUGGGGAUGCGUCUGAUUAGCUUGUUGGCGGGGUAACGGCCCACCAAGGCGACGAUCAGUAGGGGUUCUGAGAGGAAGGUCCCCCACAUUGGAACUGAGACACGGUCCAAACUCCUACGGGAGGCAGCAGUGAGGAAUAUUGGUCAAUGGGCGAGAGCCUGAACCAGCCAAGUAGCGUGCAGGAUGACGGCCCUAUGGGUUGUAAACUGCUUUUAUGCGGGGAUAAAGUGAGGGACGUGUCCUUAAUUGCAGGUUCCGCAUGAAUAAGGACCGGCUAAUUCCGUG
rnacentral:rRNA from 1 species